ACAGAAUCCUUGGCCGCCACUAUCACAGUCCUCCUAAAACCCAGGAAGGACCCGACAACGUGUGGUAGCUACAGACCAAUAUCACUUCUAAAUGUGGACAUUAAACUGUUCACCAAGCUCCUCACAUCCAGGGUGCAAACAUACCUGUCUGACCUGAUCCACCCAAACAAAACAGGCUUGUCUGCAUAUGCUGCCACCUUGUGUUCUGUG